CUCGGUCAACCCGUAGAUUCGAAUUUGUGUUUACAUAAUGGAAUAACACUGUUCGAUUCUCGGGUAGAUCGAAU
rnacentral:pre_miRNA from 14 species